UGGACAUAUUAUUAUAUUCGACUGUAUUCACGGCGUGAAAUAGGGGAUUAUACUGUUUUUAAAAUGGAAAGUGAAUCAAUUAACAUAAUAGACUCCU
rfam:Nicotiana sylvestris Nsyl_contig5760, whole genome shotgun sequence.